AUUCAAUAAAAUGCUUCGCUGGGGCGCAGCUUGAUACGACCGCAGAGGUCGAACCCUGAACAGUUGGGGCAAGUAUGGACACAACAUUCAAGCUUGAUACAGCUCUGAAUUUGGAUUGUUAUUAAAUAUUUGACACAGCAUAGGUUUCUGACACAGAAAGAAUGUGGUCUAAGAACUUGAAUUUUUUUUAAUUUACCUAUUAUGGUCCAAUGUCCAAAAUCAAAAUACAUGGUUAGAUUCAGCAUAUCAAAGAACCCCAUAUAUUCAAUUUUUGUUAAAAUCAAACAAAGUUUAAUUUUGGACCCCAACUUGGACAAACUUGAAAACUGGGCCCAUAAUCAAAAAUCUAAACACAUGUUUAGAUUCAGCAUAUCAAAGAACCCUAAGAAUUAAAUUUUUGCUAAAAUCAAACUAAGUUUAAUUUUGGACCCUUUGGACCUUAAUGUAGACCAAUUUAAAAAACGGGACUUAAAAUUAAAAAUCUAAAUACACGGUUAGAUUUGGAAUAUCAAAGAACCCCAAUAAUUCAAUUUUUAAUGAAAUCAAACAAAGUUUAAUUUUGGACCCUUUUGACCUCAAUAUGAACCAAUUUGAUAGCGGGGCCCACAAAUAAAAAAUCUAAAUACAUGGUUAGAUUCAGCAUAUCAAAGAACCCCAUAUAUUCAAUUUUUGUUGAAAUCAAAAAAAGUUUAAUUUUGGACCCCAACUUGGACCAACUUGAAAACUGGGCCCAUAAUCAAAAAUCUAAACACAUGUUUAGAUUCAGCAUAUCAAAGAACCCCAAGAAUUCAAUUUUUGUUAAAAUCAAACUAAGUUUACUUUUGGACCCUUUGGACCUCAAUGAAGACCAAUUUAAAAAAGGGGACCCAAAUUAAAAAUCUAAAAACACGGUUAGAUUUGGCAUAGUAAAGAACCCCAAUAAUUCAAUUUCUGAUGAAAUCAAACAAAGUUUAAUUUUGGACCCUUUUGACCUCAAUAUGAACCAAUUUGAUAGCGGGGCCUACAAAUAAAAAAUCUAAAUACAUGGUUAGAUUCAGCAUAUCAAUGAACCUCAUAUAUUCAAUUUUUGUUGAAAUCAAACAAAGUUUAAUUUUGGACCCCAAUUUGGACCAACUUGAAAACUGGGCCCAUAAUAAAAAAUCUAAAUACAUGUUUAGAUUCAGCAUAUCAAAGAACCCCAUAUAUUCAAUUUUUGUUGAAAUCAAACAAAGUUUAAAUACUGGACCCUAUCUUAGACCAACUUGAAAACUGGGCCCAUAAUCAAAAAUCUAAACACAUGUUUAGAUUCAGCAUAUCAAAGAACCCCAAGAAUUCAAUUUUUGCUAAAAUCAAACUAAGUUUAAUUUUGGACCCUUUGGACCUCAAUGUAGACCAAUUUAAAAAACAGGACCCAAAAUUAAUAAAAUGCUCCGCUGGGGCGCAGCUUGAUACGACCGCAGAGGUCAAACCCUGAACAGUUGGGGCAAGUAUGGACACAACAUUCAAGCUUGAUACAGCACUGAAUUUGGAUUGUAAUUAAAUAUUUGACACAGCAUAGGUUACUCACACAGAAUGAAAGUGGUCUAAGAACUUAAAAUUUUUUAAUUUACCUAUUCAAACCAUAUCGUUAUUAUUUGCUUUUAUAUAUACAUCAGAAAUAACCAAUUUAAAAUGGAAAAUUUUAAAGAAAAAAACAUACAUGUGAUGGACUGUGAAACUCAGAUCAGGAGAUUGGAAAAUUUU